GAUGAACGCUGGCGGCGUGCCUAAUACAUGCAAGUCGAGCGAACGGACGAGAAGCUUGCUUCUCUGAUGUUAGCGGCGGACGGGUGAGUAACACGUGGAUAACCUACCUAUAAGACUGGGAUAACUUCGGGAAACCGGAGCUAAUACCGGAUAAUAUUUUGAACCGCAUGGUUCAAAAGUGAAAGGCGGUCUUGCUGUCACUUAUAGAUGGAUCUGCGCUGCAUUAGCUAGUUGGUAAGGUAACGGCUUACCAAGGCAACGAUGCAUAGCCGACCUGAGAGGGUGAUCGGCCACACUGGAACUGAGACACGGUCCAGACUCCUACGGGAGGCAGCAGUAGGGAAUCUUCCGCAAUGGGCGAAAGCCUGACGGAGCAACGCCGCGUGAGUGAUGAAGGUCUUCGGAUCGUAAAACUCUGUUAUUAGGGAAGAACAUAUGUGUAGGUAACUGUGCACAUCUUGACGGUACCUAAUCAGAAAGCCACGGCUAACUACGUG
rnacentral:rRNA from 1 species